rfam:Triticum urartu cultivar G1812 contig491222, whole genome shotgun sequence.
GUGAGCCGCAUGCGGGGAGACCCGCACGUAUGGUUUUCAGGGGGAUCCGGCCGGCCGGCGCCCGUAUGGUUUUCCGGGGGAUCCGGCUGGUCGGCGCCCACCCGAC